rnacentral:rRNA from 1 species
GUAGCUUGCUACCCGCUGACGAGCGGCGGACGGGUGAGUAAUGCAUAGGAAUCUGCCCGAUAGUGGGGGAUAACCUGGGGAAACCCAGGCUAAUACCGCAUACGUCCUACGGGAGAAAGGGGGCUYCGGCUCCCGCUAUUGGAUGAGCCUAUGUCGGAUUAGCUAGUUGGURAGGUAAUGGCUYACCAAGGCAACGAUCCGUAGCUGGUCUGAGAGGAUGAUCAGCCACAUCGGGACUGAGACACGGCCCGAACUCCUACGGGAGGCAGCAGUGGGGAAUAUUGGACAAUGGGGGSAACCCUGAUCCAGCCAUGCCGCGUGUGUGAAGAAGGCCCUCGGGUUGUAAAGCACUUUCAGCGAGGAAGAACGCCUAUCGGUUAAUACCCGGUAGGAAAGACAUCACUCGCAGAAGAAGCACCGGCUAACUCCGUGCCAGCAGCCGCGGUAAUACGGAGGGUGCAAGCGUUAAUCGGAAUUACUGGGCGUAAAGCGCGCGUAGGUGGCUUGAUAAGCCGGUUGUGAAAGCCCCGGGCUCAACCUGGGAACGGCAUCCGGAACUGUCAGGCUAGAGUGCAGGAGAGGAAGGUAGAAUUCCCGGUGUAGCGGUGAAAUGCGUAGAGAUCGGGAGGAAUACCAGUGGCGAAGGCGGCCUUCUGGACUGACACUGACACUGAGGUGCGAAAGCGUGGGUAGCAAACAGGAUUAGAUACCCUGGUAGUCCACGCCGUAAACGAUGUCGACCAGCCGUUGGGUGCCUAGAGCACUUUGUGGCGAAGUUAACGCGAUAAGUCGACCGCCUGGGGAGUACGGCCGCAAGGUUAAAACUCAAAUGAAUUGACGGGGGCCCGCACAAGCGGUGGAGCAUGUGGUUUAAUUCGAUGCAACGCGAA